rnacentral:rRNA from 1 species
CACGUAGGGCGCAAGCGUUGUCCGGAAUUAUUGGGCGUAAAGAGCUCGUAGGCGGUCUGUUACGUCCGCUGUGAAAACUCGGGGCUUAACCCCGAGCCUGCAGUGGAUACGGGCAGACUAGAGGUAGGUAGGGGAGAAUGGAAUUCCCGGUGUAGCGGUGAAAUGCGCAGAUAUCGGGAGGAACACCGGUGGCGAAGGCGGUUCUCUGGGCCUUACCUGACGCUGAGGAGCGAAAGCGUGGGUAGCAAACAGG